rnacentral:tRNA from 1 species
GGCCCCAUCGUCUAGCGGUCUAGGACAUCGCCCUCUCACGGCGAAAACGCGGGUUCGAGUCCCGCUGGGGUCACCA